UAUAUAUCUAUCUAUCUAUCUAUCUUAUGUCUCCACACCUUCCAGACUAUCGUUCAGCCAGAUCGGUCUAAAGAUGGACACAGCAGUGCAUCGUCUCGCUUCAGUGAUGGCAGAGGUCCUCCUGGAUUCCCUGGGCGCAGACGAAUGGGUAGAAUAAACCACGGUGCAGGUCCCACCCCUCCUCCUAUGGGUGGAGGAGGAUGAGGAAGGUAAACACCUGCACAACGAUGCAGGCGCACAGGGGUGAGACACCCUGGUUUUAGGCUGCAUACUGCUCAGAUAGGGCUCCGUUGCAGACAUGCACUCAGUACGUCACACUCCUCUUCCCACGGCUGCCGCUGCUUUCAAGCAGUUUCUUGACGUUACUCUGGGAAUUCCUCGUCUGAGGGGCCAGACUGACUGAUCAUGGCAGCCAAACCCCAGCCGCCAUCAUAAAAAAACCCAGGACUCUCUCACACUUUUUUUUUUUUAUUAAUAUAUCUUCUGAAAUAUAUUUUGUAGUGGAUGUUGAAUGUACACUUUGCAUCAAUAAAGUUAU